rnacentral:rRNA from 1 species
GGUUAAGCGACCAAGCGUACACGGUGGAUGCCCUGGCAGUCAGAGGCGAUGAAGGACGUGCUAAUCUGCGAAAAGCGCCGGUAAGGUGAUAUGAACCGUUAUAACCGGCGAUGUCCGAAUGGGGAAACCCAGUGUGACUCGUCACACUAUCAUUAACUGAAUCCAUAGGUUAAUGAGGCGAACCGGGGGAACUGAAACAUCUAAGUACCCCGAGGAAAAGAAAUCAACCGAGAUUCCCCCAGUAGCGGCGAGCGAACGGGGAGGAGCCCAGAGCCUGAAUCAGCAUGUGUGUUAGUGGAAGCGUCUGGAAAGGCGCGCGAUACAGGGUGACAGCCCCGUACACAAAAGCGCAUGUGCUGUGAGCUCGAUGAGUAGGGCGGGACACGUGGUAUCCUGUCUGAAUAUGGGGGGACCAUCCUCCAAGGCUAAAUACUCCUGACUGACCGAUAGUGAACCAGUACCGUGAGGGAAAGGCGAAAAGAACCCCGGCGAGGGGAGUGAAACAGAACCUGAAACCGUGUACGUACAAGCAGUGGGAGCCCCACCACUAAGCCAGUGGUGAACUCCACAUACGCAUCCUUUGCGGAAGAUACGGUUAACGGAGCGAAAGCGACGUUCAACCGCAAAAGAAGCAGAGGGGGCUUAGUGGUGGGGUGACUGCGUACCUUUUGUAUAAUGGGUCAGCGACUUAUAUUCUGUAGCAAGGUUAACCGAAUAGGGGAGCCGAAGGGAAACCGAGUCUUAAUUGGGCGUUAAGUUGCAGGGUAUAGACCCGAAACCCGGUGAUCUAGCCAUGGGCAGGUUGAAGGUUGGGUAACACUAACUGGAGGACCGAACCGACUAAUGUUGAAAAAUUAGCGGAUGACCUGUGGCUGGGGGUGAAAGGCCAAUCAAACCGGGAGAUAGCUGGUUCUCCCCGAAAGCUAUUUAGGUAGCGCCUCGUGAAUUCAUCUCCGGGGGUAGAGCACUGUUUCGGCCAGGGGGCCAUCCCGGCUUACCAACCCGAUGCAAACUGCGAAUACCGGAGAAUGUUAUCACGGGAGACACACGGCGGGUGCUAACGUCCGUCGUGAAGAGGGAAACAACCCAGACCGCCAGCUAAGGUCCCAAAGUCAUGGUUAAGUGGGAAACGAUGUGGGAAGGCCCAGACAGCCAGGAUGUUGGCUUAGAAGCAGCCAUCAUUUAAAGAAAGCGUAAUAGCUCACUGGUCGAGUCGGCCUGCGCGGAAGAUGUAACGGGGCUAAACCAUGCACCGAAGCUGCGGCAGCGACACUAAGUGUUGUUGGGUAGGGGAGCGUUCUGUAAGCCUGCGAAGGUGUGUCGUGAGGCAUGCUGGAGGUAUCAGAAGUGCGAAUGCUGACAUAAGUAACGAUAAUGCGGGUGAAAAACCCGCACGCCGGAAGACCAAGGGUUCCUGUCCAACGUUAAUCGGGGCAGGGUGAGUCGACCCCUAAGGCGAGGCCGAAAGGCGUAGUCGAUGGGAAACGGGUUAAUAUUCCCGUACCUGGUGUUACUGCGAAGGGGGGACGGAGAAGGCUAUGUUGGCCGGGCGACGGUUGUCCCGGUUUAAGCGUGUAGGCUGGUUUUCCAGGCAAAUCCGGAAAAUCAAGGCUGAGGCGUGACGACGAGGCACUACGGUGCUGAAGCAACAAAUGCCCUGCUUCCAGGAAAAGCCUCUAAGCCUCAGGUAACAUCAGAUCGUACCCGAAACCGACACAGGUGGUCAGGUAGAGAAUACCAAGGCGCUUGAGAGAACCCGGGUGAAGGAACUAGGCAAAAUGGUGCCGUAACUUCGGGAGAAGGCACGCUGACACGUAGGUGAAGUGAUUUACUCAUGGAGCUGAAGUCAGUCGAAGAUACCAGCUGGCUGCAACUGUUUAUUAAAAACACAGCACUGUGCAAACACGAAAGUGGACGUAUACGGUGUGACGCCUGCCCGGUGCCGGAAGGUUAAUUGAUGGGGUCAGCGCAAGCGAAGCUCCUGAUCGAAGCCCCGGUAAACGGCGGCCGUAACUAUAACGGUCCUAAGGUAGCGAAAUUCCUUGUCGGGUAAGUUCCGACCUGCACGAAUGGCGUAAUGAUGGCCAGGCUGUCUCCACCCGGGACUCAGUGAAAUUGAACUCGCUGUGAAGAUGCAGUGUACCCGCGGCAAGACGGAAAGACCCCGUGAACCUUUACUAUAGCUUGACACUGAACACUGGUCCUUGAUGUGCAGGAUAGGUGGGAGGCUUUGAAGUGUGGACGCCAGUCUGCAUGGAGCCGUCCUUGAAAUACCACCCUUUAAUGGCUGGUGUUCUAACGUAGACCCGUGAACCGGGUUGCGGACAGUGUCUGGUGGGUAGUUUGACUGGGGCGGUCUCCUCCUAAAGCGUAACGGAGGAGCACGAAGGUUGGCUAAUCCUGGUCGGACAUCAGGAGGUUAGUGCAAUGGCAUAAGCCAGCUUGACUGCGAGCGUGACGGCGCGAGCAGGUGCGAAAGCAGGUCAUAGUGAUCCGGUGGUUCUGAAUGGAAGGGCCAUCGCUCAACGGAUAAAAGGUACUCCGGGGAUAACAGGCUGAUACCGCCCAAGAGUUCAUAUCGACGGCGGUGUUUGGCACCUCGAUGUCGGCUCAUCACAUCCUGGGGCUGAAGUAGGUCCCAAGGGUAUGGCUGUUCGCCAUUUAAAGUGGUACGCGAGCUGGGUUUAGAACGUCGUGAGACAGUUCGGUCCCUAUCUGCCGUGGGCGCUGGAGAACUGAGGGGGGCUGCUCCUAGUACGAGAGGACCGGAGUGGACGCAUCACUGGUGUUCGGGUUGUCAUGCCAAUGGCACUGCCCGGUAGCUAAAUGCGGAAGAGAUAAGUGCUGAAAGCAUCUAAGCACGAAACUUGCCCCGAGAUGAGUUCUCCCUGAGACUUUGAGUCUCCUGAAGGAACGUUGAAGACGACGACGUUGAUAGGCCGGGUGUGUAAGCGCAGCGAUGCGUUGAGCUAACCGGUACUAAUGAACCGUGAGGCUUAACCUU